rnacentral:lncRNA from 1 species
AUUAGGUUAUUUUAGUGUCAAUAUUUUGUUGUUGUUGUUGUUGUUGUAGUAUUUCAUUAUGUAAAGCUGACUUCGUAGCGAUAGGUUCGAAUCUAUAUUUUGCAUUUAUAAUUUCGUUUAUUUUAAUUUAAGUUGUCGAAUAUACUGUAAUAUCAUUGAACUUAAAUAUUUUUUCGUAAAUUUACUUUGAGUAUCUCCUUCUUAAAAAGAAACGUUGAUUCGGAUGUACUGAGACCUGAAUAUCUGCAUGCGCGCCGAUGUUUACAAAAGGAAUGUCCAGUAUUUUUGGUGUCUUUCAGUGAUACUUUUACACAUUAGAACAACUGAAUAAAAUCUCCUUUCAAUUAACUAUCGAUAUAUCUGGUAUUUUACGUAAGACUGAGUCCCAAUAUUAUUGCAAUUCGGUAGCAAAGAUGUUGACACCACAUGUUGUCUGAUGAUGAGUUUUACAGGAUCGAAUAAAGUUUGGUCAUUGUAUUCCCUGAAAGGAACAAGAGGAGAAAAGAAACUGGAAGACCUGCAUGCCUAUCCGCAGGCCAAUGCUGGCUGCAGGUCAAUAUUGAAUGCUCUUAUGAAAACUCAUAAGACAAUAACAAAAAAAAGAAGCUGAGGAUGCUGUUUUUAAAACAUGUUCCAUUCAAAAAUGGUGGAUUGAAAUUUAAGAAAGGUGUGACGGGUGCGGCUACUGCAGGCAGGGAGGAUUUGACGGUCAGCCAGAGGAUUUGGAGAUAUACUGUAAUGUCUUUAAUGUGGACUUGUGUGUGAUUUAAGUUUUCACAAGGGUUUUAGUGUGUGUGAAAGUAUGUCAGUUUUCAAAAUUGAGCUAUGACAAUUUGCUCAAACUACAUAACUCAAAAAACUUUGAAGCGGUCUUGUUGACGUCAUGAGCUUUUGUUUAAUACCAGUAUUGGUGAUAUAGGCCCAUGAUUAUAUGCUGUAGAAAGUGAACAAGUUCACUGCUCGAUACAGAUAAUCAUAUGGCCUGAUCUCUGAAUGAUAUUUAUGAACCAAAAGAAGGCAUAAAAUAAAAACAUACUGUAGUGAUUUAAAUUAUUGAUAUUGUUAAACUAGAUCUGGGCCUGUAUUCAUAAAGGAUCUUAGUAAAAAAAAUUAUC